AAGUGGGAUGACGUCAAGUCCUCAUGGCCCUUAUAGUGGGGCUACAUACGUCAUACAAUGGCUGGGUACAAAGGGUUGCCAACCCGCAGGGGGAGCUAAUCCCAUAAAGCCAGUCGUAGUCCGGAUCGUAGUCUGCAACUCGACUACGUGAAGUCGGAAUCGCUAGUAAUCGUGGAUCAGAAUGUCACGGUGAAUACGUUCCCGGGUCUU
rnacentral:rRNA from 1 species